rnacentral:rRNA from 1 species
GAUGAACGCUGGCGGCGUGCCUAAUACAUGCAAGUCGAGCGAACGGACGAGAAGCUUGCUUCUCUGAUGUUAGCGGCGGACGGGUGAGUAACACGUGGAUAACCUACCUAUAAGACUGGGAUAACUUCGGGAAACCGGAGCUAAUACCGGAUAAUAUUUUGAACCGCAUGGUUCAAAAGUGAAAGACGGUCUUGCUGUCACUUCUAGAUGGAUCCGCGCUGCAUUAGCUAGUUGGUAAGUUAACGGCUUACCAAGGCAACGAGGCAUAGCCGACGUGACAGGGGGGUCGCCCACACUAGAGCGGGAACACGGUCCAGAGUCCUACGGGAGGCAGCAGUAGGGAAUCUUCCGCAAUGGGCGAAAGCCUGACGGAGCGACGCCGCGUGAGUGAUGAAGGUCUUCGGAUCGUAAAACUCUGUUAUUAGGGAAGAACAUAUGUGUAAGUAACUGUGCACAUCUUGACGGUACCUAAUCAGAAAGCCACGGCUAACUACGUG